UCAGAAUAUCGGUUGUGGCUCGCGCAGUG
rnacentral:sRNA from 1 species